UGGGCACUCUGGCGAGACUGCCGGUGACAAACCGGAGGAAGGUGGGGAUGACGUCAAGUCAUCAUGCCCCUUAUGACCUGGGCUACACACGUGCUACAAUGGAUGGUACAACGAGUCGCAAACUCGCGAGGGCAAGCUAAUCUCUUAAAACCAUUCUCAGUUCGGACUGCAGGCUGCAACUCGCCUGCACGAAGUUGGAAUCGCUAGUAAUCGCGGAUCAGCAUGCCGCGGUGAAUACGUUCCCGGGCCUUGUACACACCGCCCGUCACACCAUGAGAGUUUGCAACACCCAAAGUCGGUUCGGUAACCUUCGGGAGCCAACCGCCU
rnacentral:ncRNA from 1 species